GUAGGGGGCGAGCGUUGUCCGGAUUUAUUGGGCGUAAAGAGCUCGUAGGCGGCUCAGCAAGUCGGCCGUGAAAGCCUGAGGCUCAACCUCAGGACGCCGGUCGAAACUGCUGUGGCUAGGGUUCGGUAGAGGAGAGUGGAAUUCCCGGUGUAGCGGUGAAAUGCGCAGAUAUCGGGAGGAACACCAGUAGCGAAGGCGGCUCUCUGGGCCGAUACCGACGCUGAGGAGCGAAAGCUAGGGGAGCGAACAGGGAUUAGGUACCCUGGUAGUCCUAGCUGUAAACGUUGGGCACUAGGUGUGGCGGACUCAUUGACGUCUGCCGUGCCGAAGCUAACGCAUUAAGUGCCCCCGCCUGGGAGUACGGUCGCAAGGCUA
rnacentral:rRNA from 1 species